AUCUAUGGCCAUACCACCCCGAAUGUUCCUGAUCUCAUCUGAUAUCAGAAGCUAAACAGGGUAGGGCCUGCUUAGCACUUGUAUAGGAGAAAGUAUAUGAAGCAGAAU
rnacentral:rRNA from 1 species